GACGAAGGAUGCAAGCGUUAUCCGGAUUCAUUGGGUUUAAAGGGAGCGUAGGUGGUCUGCUAAGUCAGUGGUGAAAUCUCUCGGCUCAACCGAGAAAUUGCCAUUGAAACUGGCGGACUUGAGUACAGUUGCCGUUGGCGGAAUAUGACAUGUAGUGGUGAAAUACAUAGAGAUGUCAUAGAACACCGAUUGCGAAGGCAGCUAACGAAGCUGUUACUGACACUGAGGCGCGAAAGCGUGGGGAGCAAACAGG
rnacentral:rRNA from 1 species